rnacentral:rRNA from 1 species
UACGAAGGGUGCAAGCGUUAAUCGGAAUUACUGGGCGUAAAGCGUGCGUAGGCGGUUGGCUAAGUCAGAUGUGAAAGCCCUGGGCUCAACCUGGGAAUGGCAUUUGAAACUGGCCGGCUAGAGUGUGAUAGAGGAUGGCGGAAUUCCCGGUGUAGCGGUGAAAUGCGUAGAGAUCGGGAGGAACAUCCGUGGCGAAGGCGGCCAUCUGGAUCAACACUGACGCUGAGGCACGAAAGCGUGGGGAGCAAAGCAGG